UAAUUUGAUUAUGGAUGCUGGAAUGUCAGUGGCAAUCCCCUUCAUGAGUUGGUUUAUGGAACUAAGGCUCUUGCUGAUAUAACAAUGCAGUAUAAGAGAAGUGUGAGUCAGUACGCAUCCAUGAACUAUCUUUCUCGUGGAGAAAGUGUAUUUGAAAUGAUGUCUGUACCAGACUGAUGUCUCUGCAGAACCAUUAAGAUAUGGAUCCCAAAUUACCCCUGCAAGUUGCUUUGCUGGUAUAACUGAUUGAUCUUUCAAAAUUCUGAGGCAUUUGUGGGAUGCGGCAGCAAGUAAUAUGCUCGGGAACAGCCACACAUUCGAUUCUAGAUCAGUCUCACCAUUUACUGGAGGUUGUGAUAUGUCUUGGGUUCUUCUAUUCUGGCCAUGCAUGGCUCUAUCAAUAUUCCGCAAGAUAAAAAGUGUCUCAAUCCAAGCAGAUUUAGCGAUAAACUGUUACCAUGGUUGUGAGUAUUGUGACCACAUGCAUUGGCUUUGCCCUGGCUUUCCUAAUCAUGGCUACAGUGCAACCCAUGAUUCAUGCCAAGAAGCUCUACUAGCUCAGGUUCUCUUUUUAUAACAUCUUCAGCUAGAUGCCAUUCACCAAAAACUAUGAAACGGAUUUUAAUUUUAUUUGUCUACUGUGAAUAUUGCACUCACUGCUUUACCACAUUCCUGUUUCUGUUUAAGCUUUUCACUAGAGCUGGCCAAAUUACAAAUUUUCCCCCUUCCAUAUUCCGGACCCCAACCACCCCAUUACUGUAUAUGAUUGUGAUAUAUAUGUUGUGUUCGAGACCUGGAAAAGGGAAAUAGUCUAGAAAAGGGGAAAGGGUUUUGUGUAGAUGAUGAUGAAGUUUAGGAAAACAGAACGCCACUUACUGUUCCGCUGUGCUCUGAUGGCUGAUGGACGGACUGCACGAAGCCGAUCGUAUUAGAUAACCAAGAACUUGGUUGCUAUGGAUCAAAUGACAAAGGUAGCGUGGCUGAAGCCAAACUUUACAUCAACUAUCACCAUGUCUAACCUUAUAUACUCUUUGUCCAUUAGAUUAUUGUUAGCACUGUUUUGGAGAACUGAGAGCAAAUUUAGCUGUUGCAAAUCACUCGAGUAACGAAUGAAGAUAACUUUUACAUAUUUUGACUGCAAAAUGGUUAGCAUUGCUAAAGAUGUUCCUAGUGAGGUGAAAUUUGUA